rnacentral:lncRNA from 1 species
ACCCUGUGCUGAGGGGCUCUUUGAAGGUAGUUAUUCAGGAAGAGGUAAAACAUUGUUUUUUCAGAUAAAAGCCUUGGGGACCAGGGUUUAUCCCCAUUUCAGUGGGUUGAACUGAGUGUGAGAGUUGGGGGGGCAGUAGGAAAAUAUGAUUUAUGUUAUAAUGUACAAUUUGAUGAUUCAUUCAAUUCUGUUUCCAUUGGCGUUGUAGGAGAUUCAUCCUAAAAGUAUGGGAAAUAACCAGGACUAGCAAUCCAGAACGGAGAAAGCCCAAGUUGUAUGCAGUGCUACAACCAUGCAACAGAAGUUCCACAUGAUGAACUCAUCUACCUAUGCAAAACCCACCAAGGCUCUCAAGCAAUCCCUUUGGGCUGGCAGUGGGAGUCGACACAAGUUCGUAGGCACACAGAGAGCACGAACCGGGUCUACUGCAUUUCAGUCUAUGUAGAACAGACACGCUCACCACUCUGCCCUGGGCAGAAGCCAGGUGAGUUUGCC